rnacentral:rRNA from 1 species
GACGUAGGGCGCGAGCGUUGUCCGGAAUUAUUGGGCGUAAAGAGCUCGUAGGCGGUUUGUCGCGUCUGCUGUGAAAACCCGAGGCUCAACCUCGGGCCUGCAGUGGGUACGGGCAGACUAGAGUGCGGUAGGGGAGAUUGGAAUUCCUGGUGUAGCGGUGGAAUGCGCAGAUAUCAGGAGGAACACCAAUGGCGAAGGCAGAUCUCUGGGCCGUAACUGACGCUGAGGAGCGAAAGCAUGGGGAGCGAACAGG